rnacentral:rRNA from 1 species
UACGAAGGGGGCUAGCGUUGCUCGGAAUCACUGGGCGUAAAGCGCACGUAGGCGGAUCUUUAAGUCAGGGGUGAAAUCCCAAGGCUCAACCUUGGAACUGCCUUUGAUACUGGGGAUCUCGAGUCCGGAAGAGGUGAGUGGAACUGCGAGUGUAGAGGUGAAAUUCGUAGAUAUUCGCAAGAACACCAGUGGCGAAGGCGGCUCACUGGUCCGGUACUGACGCUGAGGAGCGAAAGCCAGGGGAGCAAAGCGGG